rnacentral:rRNA from 1 species
AUUGAACGCUGGCGGCAGGCCUAACACAUGCAAGUCGAGCGGUAGCACAGAGAGCUUGCUCUCGGGUGACGAGCGGCGGACGGGUGAGUAAUGUCUGGGAAACUGCCUGAUGGAGGGGGAUAACUACUGGAAACGGUAGCUAAUACCGCAUAACGUCGCAAGACCAAAGAGGGGGACCUCCGGGCCUCUUGCCAUCAGAUGUGCCCAGAUGGGAUUAGCUAGUAGGUGGGGUAACGGCUCACCUAGGCGACGAUCCCUAGCUGGUCUGAGAGGAUGACCAGCCACACUGGAACUGAGACACGGUCCAGACUCCUACGGGAGGCAGCAGUGGGGAAUAUUGCACAAUGGGCGCAAGCCUGAUGCAGCCAUGCCGCGUGUAUGAAGAAGGCCUUCGGGUUGUAAAGUACUUUCAGCGGGGAGGAAGGCGAUAAGGUUAAUAACCUUGUCGAUUGACGUUACCCGCAGAAGAAGCACCGGCUAACUCCGUGCCAGCAGCCGCCGCAG